AGUCUUGUUCCAUCUGUCUUGA
rnacentral:siRNA from 1 species